CUUGUUUACCCACUUAACUUGUUUAUAGACUGCCCACUAGUAAUAAAUCAAAUCUUUCUAAAAAUGAAGGCCAGAUUUUCCGCGUGUAAACCAGAUGUUUUUUAAACACUGAGUUGUUUUUGUUGAUAAGACAAAUGAGAAGUUUUAAACAGUGUGGGGUCAGAGGCGUCACAAGUGGGGGAACCUGGGUGCGGACCUUACCGAGUGAAACCCGACCUAGUGACGCCACUGCAAACCAGUGGGCAGUCAGUUGGGUCAACUAUGACGUCUUGAGGUCAACAGCAGAAGACAUUUCUCUGCUGCCACAAAUAUCUGUCUCGAGAAACCACAAGAAGUUAAAAUAGCGACAUUGAAAUCCUAAAGUUGACAGUACAGCACGUCCACAUUUGCUCCGGGGCGUGACCUGCGCGGGCUAUAAAUAGACAAGUGAAACCGAAAUAAAUGUUGGAGGUAUCGGUGUGGACAAAUAGAGUCACGUGGUGUGAUUCCAAAAAGCAAGGCUCGACUUCAUACAACAAGGGUUUGAUCAG